UACAGGGGGCUCGAGCGUUAAUCGGAAUCACUGGGGUUAAAGGGUGCGUAGGCGGAUGCGCAAGUGUCCUGUGAAAUCCCCCGGCUCAACCGGGGAAUUGCGGGGCAAACUGCGUGUCUUGAGGCAAGUAGAGGCCGUCGGAACGCUAGGUGGAGCGGUGAAAUGCGUAGAGAUCUAGAGGAACGCCAAAGGUGACGACAGGCGGCUGGGCUUGUCCUGACGCUCAGGCACGAAAGCGUGGGGAGCAAACGGG
rnacentral:rRNA from 1 species